AGAGCAAAGUGGUGGCCUGCCCAUCCUGCCAAAGACAGCACUCGCUCGUCUGUCCAACUACCCUGACAGGAUUGUUUCUACCAGGACAGGUGAUAAUGGAAGUCCAUCUACCCUGACAGGAUUGUUUCUACCAGGACAGGAUUGUUUCUACCAGGACAGGUGAUAAUGGAAGUCCAUCUACCCUGACAGGAUUGUUUCUACCAGGACAGGUAAUAAUGGAAGUCCAUCUACCCUGACAGGAUUGUUUCUACCAGGACAGGAUUGUUUCUACCAGGACAGAUGAUAAUGGAAGUCCAUCUACCCUGACAGGAUUGUUUCUACCAGGACAGGUGAUAAUGGAAGUCCAUCUACCCUGACAGGAUUGUUUCUACCAGGACAGGUAAUAAUGGAAGUCCAUCUACCCUGACAGGAUUGUUUCUACCAGGACAGGUG
rnacentral:lncRNA from 1 species